rnacentral:rRNA from 1 species
UACGAAGGGGGCUAGCGUUGUUCGGAAUUACUGGGCGUAAAGCGUGCGCAGGCGGCUUCUCAAGUCAGGGGUGAAAGCCCAGAGCUCAACUCUGGAAUUGCCUUUGAGACUGAGUGGCUUGAGUACGAGAGAGGUGAGUGGAAUUCCCAGUGUAGAGGUGAAAUUCGUAGAUAUUGGGAAGAACACCGGUGGCGAAGGCGGCUCACUGGCUCGUAACUGACGCUCAUGCACGACAGCCGUGGGGGAUCAAAACAGG